rnacentral:rRNA from 1 species
GACGAACGCUGGCGGCGUGCUUAACACAUGCAAGUCGAGCGGUAAGGCCCUUUCGGGGGUACACGAGCGGCGAACGGGUGAGUAACACGUGGGUGACCUGCCCUGCACUCUGGGAUAAGCCUGGGAAACUGGGUCUAAUACCGGAUAUUCACAUGGUCCUGCAUGGGGUUGUGUGGAAAGUUUUUCGGUGUGGGAUGGCCCGCGGCCUAUCAGCUUGUUGGUGGGGUGAUGGCCUACCAAGGCGA